rnacentral:lncRNA from 1 species
UGUAAAAUGGGCAUGCCCAUGGCGGUACGUACACAUGCCUCGUAUCUCAUUCAUCGGGCCUGAGGUUUACAUCAUCGGUAAACUUUCGAUGGGGAGAUCGUGGCGUCUUCAGCCAUGAGUGAUGAGUCCACAAACUCCGAUUCCGGACGCUCAUGGACAAAAUUCAGUAGAUCCAAGUCGGCAUGCUUGGAUCUCUGCAGUCCCCUACUCCCCUAGCUAGUAGACCCCUAGCACUGCAGUACGUUUUCCAUAGGCUCCAUAUCCCACGUCCUAUUGAUCACCGAUUUCAAAGUGUCGGAUCAACAGUCC